rnacentral:lncRNA from 1 species
CUGGGCUGGGAACAGUAUGUUCAGACAGAGCCAGGAGAAUUCAUCGCUGUGAAGUUACAGGCCUUAGUCUGAGGCUGCUCUCCAGCUUGGCGCCUGACAGAGAAAAUUGGCUUUAGGUCAGAACCCUGGUGUAAUGAAAAGGCACGCUGGAGGGAGACCUAAACCCAAGGGCGGUCCUUCAAUGCCAGGAAACUGCCAGACUUCGGGUUGGUCACUCAUCUCUCUGGGACACUGUCCCUAUGAGUGUGAAGUGAAGGUAGUAGGGGCAGCCCCAUUUCUCUGAAAUAUUGAUAAGGACAAAAUGUGUGUGGAAGCAAAACUGUAAAGUGACAAGGCUUGUGAUCAACUCUGACAGUUGUGCCUAUGCCUGUCCAGGACCUAGGAUGAAAGCAAGGGCUGGAGAACUUUAGCACAAGAUAAAGGCAGAGAGAAUCUGGACAUCCAGGCUUCUUCCCUUCUUCACAAUGCUGACUUUCCACCUGUACUUCAUCCUAACACAAUAUCCAUUUGGCCUGAAAGCCUGGUGUUUUCCUACCCCUUGCUGGAGAAUGGGUCACUGUAAUGCUGGAAGAAGCUAGACGAUCUACUACCAAAAGUGCACAAGAACUUCACAAGACAAUGCCGUAGGCCCCCAGCUGUAGGCCUCGAAGACAAUAAAUACAUCUCAGUGCUACAGAUAAACACAUCCCCCUUUCAAUUUAUAGAUCUUUAUGUAAGC